rnacentral:rRNA from 1 species
AUACGGAGGAUCCGAGCGUUAUCCGGAUUUAUUGGGUUUAAAGGGAGCGUAGGCGGGAUAUCAAGUCAGCUGUGAAAUGUAGAUGCUCAACAUCUGCACUGCAGUUGAAACUGGUGUUCUUGAGUGCGUAAGAGGUAGGCGGAAUUCGUCGUGUAGCGGUGAAAUGCAUAGAUAUCACGAAGAACUCCAAUUGCGAAGGCAGCCAUCCGGGCUACAACUGACGCUGAGGCUCGAAAGUGCGGGAAUC